UACGGAGGGUGCAAGCGUUAUCCGGAUUUACUGGGUUUAAAGGGUGUGUAGGCGGGCUAUUAAGUCUGGGGUGAAAUCUCUGAGCUCAACUCAGAAACUGCCUUGGAUACUAUUAGUCUUGAAUCAUGUUGAGGUUGGCGGAAUAUAACAUGUAGCGGUGAAAUGCAUAGAUAUGUUAUAGAACACCGAUUGCGAAGGCAGCUGGCUAAACAUGCAUUGACGCUGAGGCACGAAAGCGUGGGGAUCAAACAGG
rnacentral:rRNA from 1 species